rnacentral:lncRNA from 1 species
CUACUGCAAAAGAAAGAAACAUUUAGGUUAAAAGGGGGUGGGGGUGUUUGGAGAAGACGCAAAGUUCACUGGAGAAGCAAAAUUCCUUAAUAUGGACUCCGGAAUCCCGCAUCUGAGCCACAUAGCAAGUAUAUGAGCGUAUUAGAUGAGCAAAAAAAAAAAACCCUAAAUCAACAGAGAUGAAGAAAUCAAGUCAACAAAGAACAUUACCUGACGAAGAGAUGAACACUACUUGUUGCAAUCAAUCCAUAUGACCAUAUCUCCGGUGGUGGUUAGGAUAGGAGCGUUGUAACACCGGUGUGAUAUGGGGAGCAGGGGUUAGUAUCGAUCGAACUGGGUUGAGGAGGUGAAUGUCGCGUUGUGGAGAUGGAUGUUAGUUUUAUGGGUGAGGAGGAGAUGGCCGCCUGAAAGCACGGAAGGUGGAGAAUGUGGGGCAAAACAUGGGAGGUUUUUAACUGGCAACAAAACUGACGAUAACUGGUGAUAACCGUUGUUGUAGCAGUUAGAAAACAGAGUUUAAAUGGUCAUGAUUUCAUCUCAGCAAGAUCUAAGGGCCAAGAAUGAUUGAAGAGUUAGUUAGACUUAAUGGGUUUCAUAUAUAUAUAUAAUAUAUAAUUGUUGAAUUUAAUCUACCUUCAAAACGCCCCCCUAAACAUCGUAUGGCCAUGUUCUCAGGAAAUGGUAUUUUUUUUCUACCACAAGGGUAUCCAACGUUAUCGUUAUCAUUUUCUUAUAGCUUGGCGAUUAGCUAAAACGAGUGUAAAAGGAAUUAUAUUGUGAACCAAACAGACUAGUUCCGUCAUUGUGUCAUUGUACUGUGACGAUCCGUCCCAAAUUGAUAGCCGUGUAUUUUAUGCUACUAAUUAAUGUAACCUUAACAAAGGUCAUGCUAUUUAUUUCACUUGUAUUUCGCUGCAGAUAUAUGUCUCUAAUGUAUAUUUUUUCC